AGUUAAUGAGCUUGAACAGCAAUUGUUUUGAAAACAUUUGAUAGAAAUUAAAAUUUUCUAUUAACUU
rnacentral:tRNA from 1 species